AUUGAACGCUAGCGGGAUGCUUUACACAUGCAAGUCGAACGAGUGGCGGACGGGUGAGUAAUAUAUCGGAACGUGCCUAGUAGCGGGGGAUAACUACUCGACAGAGUGGCUAAUACCGCAUACCCUCGGAGCGGCCGAGAUCGGAUUAGCUAGUGGGUGGGGUAAAGGCCCACCACGGGAACGCUCCGUAGCUGGUUUGAGAGGACGACCAGCCACACUGGGACUUAGACACGGCCCAGAACCCUACGGGAGGCAGCAGGGGGGAAUUGUGGACAAUGGGGGAAACCCUGAUCCAGCCAUCCCGCGUGUAUGAGAAGGCCUUCGGGUUGGAAAGUACUUUUGGCAGAGAAGCGGUAUCUGCAGAAUAAGCACCGGCUAACUACGUGCCAGCAGCCGCGGUAAUUC
rnacentral:rRNA from 1 species